AAUGUGGACUGGAUGAAGGAGCCUCGUUGGAAUAAACUCAUAUAGGAAUGAUGAUACCGUGUUUACCUACUAAUGGGAAUGACCCUAUUGAAGAGGGAACAUCACGUAUGUUGGGGAGCGGAAAAGUCAAAGUCCUCGAAAAGGAAGCACUUUGGAAACCAAUGGCUGAAAAGUUUGCUUUCUGUGAGAAGUGUAAAUCAAAGUCAUGUUUCUGUUUCCAGCAGUAGAGGAAAGAGAGAUAAACCUGAUGGACACAAGCAGGUAAAAUCUGCCCAAAAUGACUCUGGGGCUUGUUGAAAAAUUAACGCCUAUGAGAUCUGUCUCAUUCGAGGGCAAGGCAUGGCGGAUCACCUUUCCACAUCAGUGCCUGGGUCUGAUCUGCACCAUCUUUAUACGCUCAGCAGAUUAACUGGAGCCAUCUGAAGGAACCCUAUAACCAGGAGGCCGCUGUCCUCAGGGUUGAGCACCAUCUAUGGUCAUAUCAGGGAAACUGUAUAUUUCCCAGCCAGGAAUAAACAUUCUUGCUUUCAAGUCUCCCA
rnacentral:lncRNA from 10 species